AACAUUGAUAGCCCCUCUUGAUGAUUCCUCUUCCUGAGUGGCUUGUGAUGAGCAAACUGAGCCUCUAAGAAGUUGACUGAAGGGGCAGCUUCUCA
ensembl:snoRNA Gm24958 predicted gene, 24958